AUACGUACAGCAACAAUAUAAUUGAAAUUAAUUCAAAUUAAGGGCUUGUUGGCGCAAACUUAUACACUGCUCCACUUAAAAGUGUUUAUUUAUUUAUAUUGCAGUUUUAUUUAUGUUUGUUAAAAUUGGAACAUAGUUUUACUACUUCUCGCUCUUUACAAAAGAGCGUUGGCUGUCUUCGAUAAAAGCAGAAUCAGUGAAUACAGAUGCAAAAGACUAUAAUUUUAUUUAUUUCACUAUUUGGUAACAUUUUUCAUAUAAAUUCAGUGUAUUAUUUGUAAUGCUAAAUUUAAAAGUAAGAAAAAUCGUAUUUUUGUUGACGUAUCUUAAAUUUGACACCUUUCACUGUACAUAACCUCAAUAUCGUGACUUUACUAUUGCAAACAUUUUGAAGAAAUGUAAUUAAUAAUACUUCUAUUAACUGUUGGUAUAAUUUGGCCUAAUUUGUAAAGAGUGGAAGCAACAUUUAUAGAAGUGUCAGUAUCACGGACUGUGGAUUUACCAAAAGAUUUUUAAUAUUGAUGAGAAGCUAAAUUUUUAAAAUGUAUAUUUAAUAACAUUUCUGCUUAAUAAUUGUUGUUCAAACGA